CCCCCUGCAUUGGGAGCAUGGAAUCUUAGUCAUUGGACCACCAGGGCAGUCCCUCCAUAACCUUUCGAUAGCUCCAGGGAACUGUCUGGAAACUCUGAAAGUGGUUGAGUUUACAUUUUGCUACCAGCCUUACAUCAUUGGCAUUGGAAUCAGAAAUCAGGCUGAUUUAUAUAGAGAUGGGGUGUUUCUUGCACCUGAGUCUGUGGACUGUAGCUCACGUAUAAAUGUGAUACUUACAGGAAGUUAAGAAAAAUGGAGAGACCUGAGAAUCAAUGCCUACAAGUAACCUCACGUUGUGUGUGUACAGGUUCAGGGUGGUCUGUGUGUAUGGAAACACUCAUAUCUUGGGGAGAGAAAACCAAGCCGGGGAGAUGGUUCUAUUAUCUAGCCACCCAGCUACUAGGUGAUGUCCCGAAGCAUGUCUGUUUCCGGUUGUGUGCCGAUUUCUUUGCUCUUUUUGUCCCUCUUUCUUCUGACAGAUUCUGCAGCUGCUCUUUGUGUCAGGAUUCCAUUUGUGAAUUGGAUAAGAAGUCAGACUCCCUUAGGGAAAUGCACUGAGUAGGAGUUGAAAGCAGAGUAGGAAUGACAAGGAGGUUGGGAAACAUUAAAUCUUUGUUACAGGAAUUCUUGUGUUUCUGUUACCUGGGCUUAGAGAGAAAAGGGCUAGAACAUAUUUCUUUUGGGAGUCAAAUGUUUUGAAACAAGCAAGAUUUCAGGGAGCAUAUCUGCUAUAUCUAUAAACAAUGAAAUGGGAUUUCUUGAAAAAUAACUAGACUGAAUUUCAAACAGGAAAACUAACAGGUCCUAAUUUGUGCCUUUACAUAGGUGACCCCUGGGCCCUUCCGGUCACUGUCUGCUCCACCUCAAGGAACUGCUAUCCUAACUUCUCAUGCCACUGGUCAUCAUGAGGGGCUGGGUGUCAGGGAUCUGAAUGGCUGAAGUUCCCCAGGUGACUCCAGCGCAGUCUCAAUGGGAAGAAUUAUGGUGUUUGAGGAGUAUGGUCCUGUUUACAAACUGAAUAACGGAAGAGAACCAGAGGCAGGAAAACUCCGAGAUGGACCCCUUAUGUACCAUUCCAGUAUUGCUGCGUCCUCCUGAAUUCAGAGAAGAUGACCCCUGAUACACAGAAAUGGUUCGGCUCCCUCUGGCACUUCAUGUCCCCUCUUUCCUCUCUUGACACAAGCUUUGGGAGAUGCAGAGCUCUCCUGGGGCUUCCCAGGUGGUGCUAGUGGUAAAUAACCCACCUGCCACUGCAGGAGACAUUAGAGACACAGGUUCAAUCCC